AGUGAACGCUGGCGGUAGGCCUAACACAUGCAAGUCGAACGGCAGCACAGUAAGAGCUUGCUCUUACGGGUGGCGAGUGGCGGACGGGUGAGGAAUACAUCGGAAUCUACUUUUUCGUGGGGGAUAACGUAGGGAAACUUACGCUAAUACCGCAUACGACCUACGGGUGAAAGCAGGGGAUCUUCGGACCUUGCGCGAUUGAAUGAGCCGAUGUCGGAUUAGCUAGUUGGCGGGGUAAAGGCCCACCAAGGCGACGAUACGUAGCUGGUCUGAGAGGAGGAUCAGCCACACUGGAACUGAGACACGGUCCAGACGCCUGCGGGAGGCAGCAGUGGGGAAUAUUGGACAAUGGGCGCAAGCCUGAUCCAGCCAUACCGCGUGUGUGAAGAAGGCCUUCGGGUUGUAAAGCCCUUUUGUUGGGAAAGAAAAGCAGCAGGUUAAUACCCCGCUGUUCUGACGGUACCCAAAGAAUAAGCACCGGCUAACUUCGUG
rnacentral:rRNA from 1 species